rnacentral:rRNA from 1 species
AACGAACGCUGGCGGCAUGCCUAACACAUGCAAGUCGAACGAGACCUUCGGGUCUAGUGGCGCACGGGUGCGUAACGCGUGGGAACCUGCCUUUAGGUUCGGAAUAACUCAGAGAAAUUUGAGCUAAUACCGGAUGAUGUCUUCGGACCAAAGAUUUAUCGCCUUUAGAUGGGCCCGCGUUGGAUUAGCUAGUUGGUGGGGUAAAGGCCUACCAAGGCGACGAUCCAUAGCUGGUCUGAGAGGAUGAUCAGCCACACUGGGACUGAGACACGGCCCAGACUCCUACGGGAGGCAGCAGUGGGGAAUAUUGGACAAUGGGCGAAAGCCUGAUUCAGCAAUGCCGCGUGAGUGAUGAAGGCCUUAGGGUUGUAAAGCUCUUUUACCCGAGAUGAUAAUGACAGUAUCGGGAGAAUAAGCUCCGGCUAACUCCGUG